CAGCUCCUGCGGAUCGGACUGAAGUGUUGCAGCCUGGAGCGGAAGCAGCGGCCAACAAUCACCGCCGAUGCCGACUGGAGAUCGCUGGACAUCCUACAGACCAUGAGAACUGCAAGUAAAUCCAGGAAAUGGAGUAAUGGAAGCUGAAGAACCAUGCCAGCACUACAAUGCACCAGCAACUUUCUGCAAAAUGCCAAUAAACACUAGUAGCGUUUCUGUUUUGAAUAGAUUACUAUCUAUGAAUGUCAUUAAUUAGAACAUAAUGUACAAUAGAAAAGGACUGUGUGUUGCUCUCACUGCAAUUUUAGAACAUGUAAAUGGAGUGGCAAUAAUACUCCCUCCGUUCCUAAAUUCUUGUCGUGGUUCAUUGCAAGUUUAGAACAUGUAAAUGGAGUGGCAAUAAUACUCCCUCCGUUCCUAAAUUCUUGUCGUGCUAACCACGACGACAACAAGAAUUUAGGAACGGAGCGAGUAAUAGAUAAAGCGUGCAUGGCGAUUUUUGGAAACGUGCACCAAACAUCUCAGGAUCCUAUUACAGCUUGAAGCAAUAUGUAAAACUAUACUCCCUCCGGCCGGAAUUACUUGUCGAAAUAUUACAUGUAUCUAGACGCUUUUUACACAGAUACAUCCGUAUUUGGGCAAAUCCGAGACAAGUAAUACCGGUCGGAGGGAGUAGUAAUCUUUUCAUAUAUGAUCAUACUACUAGAUAGCACCACAAGCUAUACCUAAGUAGUAAUAAAGCAAUCGGAUCAAUGGACUGAAGGGGCUUUCACGCCAAAUUUACAUUGAAAUUGGCAUACGCAGUUCAAGCAUCCAGAUUUUGAGCCAGGCAGCACAACAUCAGACAAACCGAGAGUCCAUAUCAACCUGUCCUUACCAAACAGUACAAAGUAAAGUGGGAUAUGAUCAAAUCUCCCCAACAUAAAUUCUGCCUGUUGCGAAUAAGUUUGUGAGUGUCUGAGGGAUGACUUCGCUUAAGCUGCUACAAGGCGAGCGGUUAGAUUUCGACAUUGACCACCACACAUCGGCCACCUGACCCCCGCAAUCACCUGCUACUACAAAAGCGAAGAAGAGGACACGCAAUGCGAUGCAAUUAAUCGAAAAGCAAAACGCGAUGGGGAUUUUCUCGGUGCGGGAUUGAUCGAACACAACGAGAGAGAGAGAGAGAGAGAGGGAGGGAGGUAGGGAGGGAGGAGGGGGGAUUGGAAAUUUGAUAUUACCAGACAGUUUGCCUUCCGCCGCCGCCUCCCAGGCAUCCAUCGCUGGCUCGCCGCCGCGCCCGCCGUACGAUAACGCCGUCGCACGUUCUGACUACUCGUACCAUACUCGCGUUCCGUAG
rnacentral:lncRNA from 1 species